UCAGCUCACAGUACACAAAUACCUAAUACGAAGUUUUGCAGUCAAACCAGAUACGAAGAGGCGGCAUAUUUGUUCGCAUUUUGAAUCCCCAUCAGAAAAUCAAGAGUAUCACUCUGAAAAUUGUCACCGGGACAUGUUCAUUAUGUUGAUAGCUUAUCAAAUACAGUGCUUCAUAUACGCCCACUCCAUCAGAAGCCAUGCUUCAGAGCUUGAGCAACCACCCGUCAUGCUUGGUGGAGUGAUUUUCAAGAAAAACGUCUUCUGUAACCUCAAGAAAAUUGCUUUUAGGAAAACAAAUAUUACAAAUCUGUGGAAUCCAGCAUAGAACAAAGACAGGAGAGGGCCUUUUUCAAGUGAGGAAAGAUGGCGCAGAAACGACUAACAACAAUGAAGCAUCCAUCUUGAUGCUUGGAGAACUGGGGAUGCUUGCAUGCCUUCUUGAGACCUGCCUUUUUUCCUUUCAAUGACACGGGUGUCUCUUGUCAGCAAGCCUUCUGAUCUUAGAGGGAUUCUGUUAGCGGGACUGAUCUUCAGCAGCGCACGCAACACGCCGAGGCAGAUCGCCUGGGCCCGGCCAGAUCGGAGCUCCGCCGUCCACCUGGCUAGGGGAUCGGAGUCGGGAAUCGGGGCCGGCCACACCACUCGAUUAGGAGAGUCGGGGAGGAGGAGAAGGAGGGGGACGGGGGAUGAUCUUCAGCAGCGCAUGCAACACGCCGAGGCAGAUCGCCUGGAUCCGGCCAGAACGGAGCUCCGCCGGCCACCCGGCCACGGGCUCGGAGUCGGGAAUCGGGGCCGGCCACGCUACUAGCUCAGGAGAGGCGAGGAGGAGGGGGAGGGGGCGCAUGAGCAAGAAGUCAUUGGAGCAGCAACCGGGGAUCUUGGGCGCGUCGUCGUCCUGGAUCUUGUGAGCACCGCCAGCACCAGCAGCAGCGCCGCCGUUAUCGCCCGCACACCAGGGCGUCCAUCGCCGCGCCUAGGGUGGGGCCUGGGUUGCCAGGAGGGAGGUGGGUGGGUGGAGGGAUCGGCCGUGAGUAGCUUGGUCGACGGCGGAUGUGGCCGGCGGAACGGGGCUCUAAUCCUCUUAUUUACUCUUUAUGAUCAGUGCAACAAAAUAAAAGCAUCAGUACAACUGCUCGACUUCAUCAGUUCAAAAAGGGUAACAGAAUAGCCCAGAUGUAUAUAUAUACAUAUAUAUAUAUAUAUGUAUGUUUGUAUGUAUGUAUACCAGGAUCUUUCCAACACGAGGUGCUUGCCAAAGGAUAAAAUAAAAAAGGGAAAUGUGAAGAUCACCUUGACUCUUGCAUAAUGUAAAAGAUAGGCCCUUUGCAGAGGGAAUCAGAGGUUGUCAUGUGCUUUUAUGGUUGGAUGCAUGAAAUCUUAAUGCAAAAGAACAUCACUUUAUAUUGCCACUUGUGAUAUGAACCCUUAUUAUGUAGUCCGUCGCUUUUAUUACUUCCAUAUCACAAGAUCGUAUGAAGCUUAUUUUCUCCACACUAAUAAGGCAUACAUAUUUAGAGAGCAAUUUUUAUUGCAUGCAACAUGACAACUUACUUGAAGGAUCUUACUCAAUCCAUAGGUAGGUAUGGUGGACUCUCAUGGCAAAAACUGGGUUUAAGGAUAUUUGGAAGCACAAGUAGUAUCUCUACUUGGUGCAAGGAAUUUGGCUAGCAUGAGGAGGAAAGGAAAGCUCAACAUGUUUGAAUGAUCCAUGACAAUAUACUUUAACUGAGACGUGAGAAAACAUAACCCAUUACGUUGUCUUCCUUGUCCAACAUCAACUCUUUAGCAUGUCAUACUUUAAUGAGUGCUCACAAUCAUAAAAGAUGUCCAAGAUAGUAUAUUUAUAUGUGAGAACCUCUCUUUCUUUAUUACUUCCUAUUAAUUGCAACAAUGACCAAAACUAUGUUUGUCAACUCUCAACAACUUUUAUUCAUCAUACUCUUUAUAUGUGAAGUCAUUACUCUCCAUAAGAUCAAUAUGAUCUCUUUAUUUCUUUUUAUUCUUUCUUUUUUCCCUCAAGAUCAAAGUAAGAUAAUCAAGCCCUCGACUCAACACUAAUAUUUAUUAUAUAUAGAUCAUGGACUCGAUUACAUAGAGGAAUCAUAAAGCAAAACUCAAAACUAAUUCAUACCAAAACUUUAUUCUACUGGAUCAAGAUAUUACCAAAAGGAUCGAACUAAGUAAAACGGUAAAGAUAGGAGUGUGAUGGUGAUACGAUACCGGGGCACUCCCCCAAGCUUGGCAGUUGCCAAGGGGAGUGUCCAUACCCAUGUGAUUAUGUCCGCGGAGGUGGUGAUGCUGGAGUUGUUGAUGACGUAGGCUUGUCAUCCGUAUUCCAAGGCAUAGGCUCACCAUCAUAGUGGGAUGAUCGAGUCUCCGGGAUCCUCAAAUCUCCAGCCAAACUCAUCCUCUUGAAUCUAUAUUCAUACUCACAGUUUUGGUUUUGCAGGUCAUAGAUCUGGGCUUGGAGAUGCUCGAUCUUCUCAUGAAGCUUGAAUAUGGUCUCCCCAAUGUUCUUGGCGUCCAGCUUGUGAUUGUUAGUGAAUUCCGUGAUCAUCAUCUGGUUGACGCUGAGUCCGCGUUCCACCAUCCCUUGGCACUUGAAAACUUGUUGUUCCAUCACUUCGAGCUUUGUCUCCAUGCUUCCGGUACAGCUUGGUCCUUCCACAUCGCGGAUGUGCAGCACCCCCUCACGCAUCUCAAUGGUUUGAGGGUGAUGCAGCACCUCCGCGAGAUAGGGGUUGAUAACCCUCUCAAAAAACUUGUCUCCCACCUCCGCGACGGACCAUGGAUCUGCCUCCGCAGGGGCGGCCACUGGUGGGAAGGAGGAGCAUCGGCAACAACCACCUCCGCCCCUUCCUGCUCCUCCCCGCCAUGCGACGACCACCUCUGUCGCCCCGGGAUCCUAGCUGCAUGCAUUCAUGAGCAAGAGAAAAGAGAGGUUAAUUGUUCGUCCACACUGUCGCUCCUCCCAAGUCCACAUUAGUUUUAUCACAAAAAGCAUAUGAUGUCUAUUUUAUUUCCUGAAACACAAACUAGGUGUUCUCAGUUCAGUACGUGAGCUAUCUCAAGUUCUUGGAAAACAUAUAAAACAGUACGGUGUUUGUGCAAGAAAUUCAGACUGUUUUCUAGUUAUACAACAGUUUACUAUAUGGUAGAAUUGUAUCUGCCUCCGCAGGGGCGGCCACCGGUGGGAAGGAGGAGCAUCGGCAACAACCACCUCCGCCCCUUCCUGCUCCUCCCCGCCAUGCGACGACCACCUCUGUCGCCCCGGGAUCCCAGCUGCAUGCAUUCAGGAGCAAGAGAAAAAAGAGGUUAAUUGUCCGUCCACACUGUCGCUCCUCCCAAGUCCACACUAGUUUUAUCACAAAAAGCAGAUGAUGUCUAUUUUAUUUCCUGAAACACAAACUAGGUGUUCUCAGUUCAGUACGUGAGCUAUCUCAAGUUCUUGGAAACAUAUAAAACAGUACGGUGUUUGUGCAAAAAAUUUAGACUGUUUUCUAGUUAUACAACAGUUUACUAUAUGGUAAAAUUGCAGUUGUUCAGUAAAAAGGUUCACUACCCCAACUGGGGGAUUUCUAUCCGUUUUGUCUUUCUUUUUCCAACUGAAAUUUGUACCAAAUGUGAACUGAAGCUGUUGUGGAGCAAAUUAAGAAUAAUUGCCUACCUUUUUGCCACUGCUACCUUGCCACCUACAUUAAUGCUACUACUACUACUACUACUUAUCGUGUUGCUAAAAAUUGUGUUCUGGACAAUUUGUGGGAAAGUGUGGAGGCGCAAAUUGCUCCGCGGCUGAGGAAGGCGCACCCCGGUGCUUGCCAUGGCUGAAGGCGGCCUCCAACUGCGGGGCCCAAAGCAGCCAGCCUUUGUUCGCAUGUGCGUCUCCUUCCUGCUUCACCUAGGUAUGCGCCACCACCCGCCGCGCUCGAUGCUCCCUACUCCCAUAGCCGUCCUCAGUUCAACCCCAUGGCAUCGAGAUGGUUGAGUUAGUCGCGAGCAGCAGUCCGCCGUACCUAGAAACUAGAUUUUUAUCUGCAAAAAUCAGUUCACCGUACCUAGAAAAUUAGUUCGAUCCAUCUCCUGAUUCUGAAAAAUAUGAUUUGUGUUUACUGCAAAAACUGAUGCUCUAUAGUUCACAAUGUAUAUAUGUCAUCAGUUCAAAAAAGACGUAUAGAAAAAGUUCAAUUGUAUGUGUUAAAACCCAGUUUGGUUUUGUACUAUAUGUCAUAUUUUUACAAAAUACAAUAAAAGAUUUUGCUAAUGUGGCUGUAAGCUCUAACCAUAUGGCAAGUAUGGCUGGAAGUUUUCGACUCAUGAACUGAUAGCUGAAAGAUACGAUAUGUGUAUUGUUGAUAAUCUCAAACAUGUUUUACUCAACUUUAGAAAACAUGUAAUAUUGUUGUGCUGCUUUGCAAUGUCUCCAGCAGUCCUACUUCUCCAUGACGACAAGGAUGACGUCGCCAUGCAUGCACGCUGCAACCAGUCCCCUGUCGCAGCCCCACCACUCGUUGCUGAUGCACUCCAACCCGAGGACCUCCACGAUGGAGGUCGCCUCACAGCCUAGCGACGAGGUAACUCAUCUUCCUUGUGCGUCCUUCGCCCACUGUGCGCCCUGCUGCCCUCGACCUCCUUCCUCACAGGCAUGCUACCCCAACUUUUAUUUUGAUUUUCAGUUCAACUUGUGUGUUCUUUUCAGUGCAUUAUGCUUUAAAUGUGCAGAGUCUUGAGGCAAAAUGAUACAUUUUAGUUUGCUUUGCCGCAAGGGCAUUGCUGAAACUUAACUUCUGUCUAAACCUAUAACCAUCCAUUUUGAAAAUAGAUGCUUUCGAAAAUAGAUGCUAGUUUACUUUGCAUAGAGCUUGCAGCUUAUGUUUGUGUAGUUUGAACUUAAGCUGGUAUCCCUCUCGUACUUCAAUUUUUCAGUACUGGUCUAGUCAGUAUGGUGAAGAUGAAGCUCCUUUUUGAACUUCUCCGGUUAAUAUACAUGCACUUGGUCAUCUUUUUUACAUGUACUAACAUCAUCUCAUUCAGAGUUGUUCGUGUGCUUGUAACACAAAUCAGUUCAAAUCUCAAGAGAAGUAAGCUCAAAUAAGAAAAUAGAAAAGUUCGAAGCCGAGAUGUUUGCAUAUGUUUUGUUGAAUUGAGUUCCUUCCUAAAAAAAGCACUAAAUAUGUUUGCAUAUGUUUGCACAUCUUUUCAGUACAAACUUUUUAAAAAGUUUCUUUCUAAACUUCUCAAAAUUAAUAUACAUGAACUUGAUUAUCUUUUUAACAUGUAUUGAUAUCAGCUUCGUUGGAUUUUUGUGCAACUUGAACUGAUCGAGUAACACAAUCAGUUCAAAUCUCGAGAGACCAUAAGUUCAAGUUCACUAGUAUUUAUAAAUGUUGGUUGCAGCACUAGCAUUUACAAAUUUCUUAUAAUCUCCACAGGUCGGAGGCCGUACAUAUUUCUUAUUCCUAUUGCUAUAAGUUCAAGCGAUCAAAUGCUAUAAGUUCGCAUGUUAUUCUCCAAUUAGUUCAAGUGAUCAUUGUUUUAUUUUAUUGUGUAUAUGUCUAGACUUUGUGACCUGAACUUUCUACUUACUGCUUAGAGAACGCCCCUUUUGUGGCAUGAACUUUCUUCUUAUUGCUUAGAGAAGGUCCCUUGGAAAAGAUGACUACCUUUCGAAGUUGGAUUAUCCUCAAACAGUUUAUAUUUUGAUGUGGAAUAGGAAAAUAGGUUUGCUUUGGAGUGUGUUUUACAAUUAGAACCUUUUAGACUUCGUAUUCUUUGAGUAUGCAAAAAAAAAACAAAGGAGAAAAGCUGGCUACCUGCGUAUAGUUUUUAUAAUUUCCAUGGAAAACUAAUAUUCAUUCCCCUAUUUGGUGGAUGUUUUGAUAUAUUUCCUUCGCGAAUUGCAGUUGUCGAAUGGUGUUACACAAUUACUAUUCUAGCAUCAUUGUUUAUAUUGUAUUUUUUUAGCAUUCUUGCAACCCUAUUAACAACAUCUUUUUGUGCAGUGUUUGUCAGUUUUUUAUUUAUGGACAUCUUGGGCUUGCUGGGUGCAGAAUCAAAAUUUGUCGGUUUUUUAUUUAUGGACAUCUUGGGCUUGCUGGGUGCAGAAUCAAAGAAGGCCAGUGAGAGGUACUAGUAGAAGAGGAAGAAGUAAUGUGAAAAAUGAGAUAAAUGUGAGAAGACCAAGUACAAAAGCAUGAGUGGGAUUCAGAUUUUUUUUCAGAUUCUUGCUGUACACAUACCUUUGGUAUAUAGAUGCACUGUAAUGUAUCUAGAAAGUAUGAAUGGUUAAUACCUCAAUGGUGCACUAUGCAUCUUUGGUAGUUUUUAUGCAUUUUUAGUCAUUGUGCCGCAAUUUAAUGGUUCCGGGAAGUUUGUAUGUACUUUUAAAUUGGCUCAUCAAGGUUGUGUGCGUACCAUACAGAAAUCUGGAGCAAUUUGGCAAAAAGUAUUUACAUCCAUUCAAACUCGAGGAUACGACAAGUUCAGAGAUUUUUCUUUUACAAAAGUUUGUGGUUGACAAUUAGUUCAAAUGAUCAUUGUUUUCUUCAUUGAAGAAUAUAAAAAGAAGUACAAAAUAUUUAUUACAAAAAUCAUGAAUAUUGUUCAAGUCGCAAACAAAAGGAAGUACAUAUCUUCAUUGCAAAAAAUGUUCGAGUUUGAACGAAACAAAAAGAAAACAUCCAUCAGUUCAACUAGUGAAACCAUGCAAAUUCGGAGCUGAUGGUGUCGUCAGUUUGGACGAGAAAAUAAACCUAAAAUUGUAAUCCAAAAAAGGUUCAGUUAUAUAAGUCCAUGUCUCGACGGGAGGCCGUUCAAAACAUCUAGAGAUAUAAGUCCACUGUUUUAUUUUGCAAGUUAAAAAAAAGACAUCCCAUCUGUGUAAACAUGCUCAGUACAAACACAUAUAGAGAUCAUUUCAACUACUCUGUUUUCAAACGAAAAAAACAGAAUGCUCAAUACAAACACAAAACUGUGCUCAGUACUAGUACUCUGUUUUGGAAAAAAAUAUCAUUUUGAAAAAAUAUCAUCCAGUACAAUGAUAUAAACCAUGCAAGUUCGACGACUAUGAUACCAUAAACCAUUGGAAAAUUACGAGGAAAAGCCAUACCAAAAAAUGAGAGUAAAGUCUAGUCUGCGAAAGCACGCUCAGUACAAAAUCAUACGGACAUCAGUUCAAGUACUUCUUCCGGAACCAUCCAAAAUUACUCUUUCAAAAAUACCUCCUCAGUACAAAAACACACAGAGAUCAGUAUGAGUAUUCUAUUUUUUCUGACAGAAAAACAACACAAAGGGUCUCAUCGUAUUUCAAAUUACUCUUCACCAGUUCUGAAUUUGAGGAGACGUUCAACAUGACCAAGUUUCACAUUUUGGAUAGUUUUGCGUAGACGUUGAACUAAAAUCUUUGGCCUCUUUGAAAGUUUCACAUUUGACGAUUCUUUGUGAAAUUUCAUUGCCCACCUACCACGAAAGUUUCACAAAAUACGAGUUGUCAUUUUAUAGCUCAUAUCAUGCUCGGUCUUAUGUCAAAUACAGUAGUAAGUAACUAUCGUUAGCCCCAGAUGAAAUACUACUAAAGUAGCUCCACCAGCAACAACAUAGUGCAGGAUAAUUAAUUAGUGAUGGAAUCUCCUCAGCUCACAGUACACAAAUACCUAAUACGAAGUUUUGCAGUCAAACCAGAUACGAAGAGGCGGCAUAUUUGUUCGCAUUUUGAAUCCCCAUCAGAAAAUCAAGAGUAUCACUCUGAAAAUUGUCACCGGGACAUGUUCAUUAUGUUGAUAGCUUAUCAAAUACAGUGCUUCAUAUAUGCCCACUCCAUCAGAAGCCAUGCUUCAGAGCUUGAGCAACCACCUGUCAUGCUUGGUGGAGUGAUUUUCAAGAAAAACGUCUUCUGUAACCUCAAGAAAAUUGCUUUCAGGAAAACAAAUAUUACAAAUCUGUGGAAUCCAGCAUAGAACAAAGACAUGAGAGGGC
rnacentral:lncRNA from 1 species